GGGUGUAUGUCUGACUUCCUGGGUACGUGAUUGAUUUGGGUGAGGAGAGGGAAGGUGAUUCUGGAGGAAACGGGAGAGGAAUUCACAACGAAAGAGAGUGAUCGAAUUUCCAAAGACUGAGGGGCCGGGUACGAAAGAAUCUGAGGAAUUCAAGACGGCUUUAGCACCGCCCUUAACCGAAGACUCUGAGUGUGAAGGUAAAUCAAGAAUGCUCGAAAAGACACUUUGGACGGGCUGCAACAGUUCCAUAGAGAAACUUCUGCAGUUGAGUACCAUCUCCCGCAUUAAUGCUCAAGGAGCCAAGGAGGAGUUUUAAUGCACGGUUAACGAAGCGAAUCGAUUGUGAUAUGUCUAUUCGACUAUUCCCCC